CGGAAAGGCCCUUUCGGGGGUACUCGAGUGGCGAACGGGUGAGUAACACGUGGGUGAUCUGCCCUGCACUUCGGGAUAAGCUUGGGAAACUGGGUCUAAUACCGGAUAGGACUACGGCAUGCAUGUGCUGUGGUGGAAAGUUUUUAACGGUGUGGGAUGGGCCCGCGGCCUAUCAGCUUGUUGGUGGGGUGAUGGCCUACCAAGGCGACGACGGGUAGCCGGCCUGAGAGGGUGUCCGGCCACACUGGGACUGAGAUACGGCCCAGACUCCUACGGGAGGCAGCAGUGGGGAAUAUUGCACAAUGGGCGCAAGCCUGAUGCAGCGACGCCGCGUGGGGGAUGACGGCCUUCGGGUUGUAAACCUCUUUCACCAUCGACGAAGGCCCGCUUUUGGUGGGUUGACGGUAGGUGGAGAAGAAGCACCGGCCAACUACGUGCCAGCAGCCGCGGUAAUACGUAGGGUGCGAGCGUUGUCCGGAAUUACUGGGCGUAAAGAGCUCGUAGGUGGUUUGUCGCGUUGUUCGUGAAAUUCCCUGGCUUAACUGGGGGCGUGCGGGCGAUACGGGCAGACUGGAGUACUGCAGGGGAGACUGGAAUUCCUGGUGUAGCGGUGGAAUGCGCAGAUAUCAGGAGGAACACCGGUGGCGAAGGCGGGCCUCUGGGCAGUAACUGACGCUGAGGAGCGA
rnacentral:rRNA from 1 species